AGAGUUUGAUCCUGGCUCAGGAUGAACGCUAGCGGCAGGCUUAAUACAUGCAAGUCGAGGGGUAGCAGGGUGUAGUAAUACAUUGCUGACGACCGGCAAACGGGUGCGGAACACGUACACAACCUUCCUUUAAGCGGGGAAUAGCCCAUAGAAAUGUGGAUUAAUACCCCAUCGUAUAUUGGAGUGGCAUCACUCUACUAUUAAAGAUUUAUCACUUAAAGAUGGGUGUGCGUAUGAUUAGGUAGUUGGCGGGGUAACGGCCCACCAAGCCAACGAUCAUUAGCUGAUGUGAGAGCAUGAUCAGCCACACGGGCACUGAGACACGGGCCCGACUCCUACGGGAGGCAGCAGUAAGGAAUAUUGGUCAAUGGACGCAAGUCUGAACCAGCCAUGCCGCGUGAAGGAUGAAGGUCCUCUGGAUUGUAAACUUCUUUUAUCUGGGACGAAACGCCUGUUUUCUAACGGGUCUGACGGUACCAGAG
rnacentral:rRNA from 1 species